UACGUAGGGGGCUAGCGUUGUCCGGAUUUAUUGGGCGUAAAGAGCUCGUAGGCGGCUUGUCGCGUCGAAUGUGAAAUCUCGGGGCUCAACUCCGAGCUUGCAUUCGAUACGGGCAGGCUAGAGUUCGGUAGGGGGAGACUGGAAUUCCUGGUGUAGCGGUGAAAUGCGCAGAUAUCAGGAGGAACACCGAUGGCGAAGGCAGGUCACUGGGCCGCAACUGACGCUGAGGAGCGAAAGCAUGGGGAGCGAACAGG
rnacentral:rRNA from 1 species